AGUACAUCAAGCCAAAAGACCCAUGAGAUCAUCCAGGAAGCAAAGGAGCAAGCAACAUCAGCAAAUCAACUCGGAGACACUUUCCCGCGGUCGCGUCGCUUCCGACCGCGGCCAAGAUACCUUCUCCCGCGGUCGUGCUUGGUCUACCCGCGGCCCAUGGGCAUUUUCCCGCGGUCGCAUCCCCUGCAGUCAAAGCCAACCGGAAAAACGUUCCAAAACAGUCCUGUUCAGCUCAUACAAGCAGCUGUGCGUCUGAUGCACCUCCUGGGAUGACUAAACCACUCCAUCAACAACUGGUUUGCUC
rnacentral:lncRNA from 1 species